GGGCGCUUAGCUCAGCUGGUUAGAGCGCACGGAUCACACCCGUGAGGUCACUGGUUCGAGUCCAGUAUCGCCCACUA
rnacentral:tRNA from 1 species